GUGGGGAAUCUUAGACAAUGGGGGAAACCCUGAUCUAGCCAUGCCGCGUGAUCGAUGAAGGCCUUAGGGUUGUAAAGAUCUUUCAGCUGGGAAGAUAAUGACGGUACCAGCAGAAGAAGCCCCGGCUAACUCCGUGCCAGCAGCCGCGGUAAUACGGAGGGGGCUAGCGUUAUUCGGAAUUACUGGGCGUAAAGCGCACGUAGGCGGACUGGAAAGUUGGAGGUGAAAUCCCAGGGCUCAACCUUGGAACUGCCUUCAAAACUAUCAGUCUAGAGUUCGAGAGAGGUGAGUGGAAUUCCGAGUGUAGAGGUGAAAUUCGUAGAUAUUCGGAGGAACACCAGUGGCGAAGGCGGCUCACUGGCUCGAUACUGACGCUGAGGUGCGAAAGCGUGGGGAGCAAACAGGAUUAGAUACCCGUGUAGUCC
rnacentral:rRNA from 1 species